ensembl:lncRNA
GUUAAUAGUGCCCCUCUCCUAUCACAGCCUUAAAUGAAAAGCCUUAAGGCCAGUUUCCCAGACACAGAUUAGAGCUGCAAUGUGUAGCUUUUUGGGUGACCUGACCAAAUUCACAUAGAUAUGUUAUAGAUCUGUUAUUUUCAUUGAAAGCAAGUCUAAGAAGGUGGUAGAUCUGUUAUUUUUCUAUGCUUCCUGUUUUAUAGUUUUGUUUUUUGGGGUCUUUUACUUUGGGUUUUGUACACCAGCUUCAAAUCAGCUGAAAAUACAAUGUUUUUGGUUAUUGGACAAUAUAUUUCACAGCAGUUUAGAUGCUACAAUGAUUCUCUACACUAUACAUGCUUGCUUUCUCACAAGUUGAAAUUCGAAUUCAAGCAACCAGGAAAUGGCGGUGCGAUAUCUGCACAGUGCAUCUUUUACGCCUAGUCUUGGACUCCAUGGAGAUUCUCCAUUCAGCAUGAUUUAGAAUCCAGCACUAGGCUUAAUCUGUGUCUGGGGAAACUGGUCCUAAAACUAUUCCACCUAUUCUAGAACUAUCAUUUGGAGUGCUUGCUGACUCCCAUGGUCUAUGAUGUCACCCACCUCCACCAUGUCACUCUGAGUUCUACAUCAGCCUGUUGCUCUGUCCCCAUAUAUACAGGUCUGGAACUAAGCAUUGUAACUCUGCCUAACAACACAUUGGUACAUACCAACGUCUGGCAUUAUUACAGUUCUAUUUAUUUCAGAUGUCUAUAUGGCAUGUUUAAAAUGAAGAACCUGAGUUUUACUAUUGUACAUCCGUCCAAGAUCACAUAUCACGAUGUACAAUUAGUUGUCCAGUCUGUUCGAUAAAAUGAAAUAAAGAUAUUGUAAAAUAAGUGCUGAAACUCUGUUUGUCCAUCAGUCAUGAUGCAGCUUUAUAAAUCUCAUGAGAAAGUGAACCUAAAGGUAAUGCUUUCCUGACGUGUUGGUUUGAGAGGAUAGAAGACCCAUAUUAUAGGAGUUAGCCUCCCGCUGUGAUUGGCUACAAACACACGACGCUGUCACUUUCCAGAUGGACACACCCCCAACACACAUACUGUACAGAUCCGCCUAACACACGGGGACAAUUGCAACCCAAAAAUAUAUAAAGGGGAAUGUCCAGAAUACGGUUGUCGCAGUUAUCAAAUAAAAUGUUAUUGUAAACAGGCAAUUGGCAUUCUGUGUUUAUGUUCAGUCUCGCUCUCUCUCUGGUUGCUGUAGGCUCCUCUUGCUGUCAUGUUAAAAUCUGUACCGUCUUCGGUGAAAUUACUGGGGGUGGGGGGGGGUUACAAGCCGAUGAGAGACGCAGUUAAAAGAUUGAUGCAUAACCAGAGGAAGCGAGAGGGAUAACAGACAAAUGUCUUCUCCAGCAGGUGGCGCUGUUGCGUUUCGCUAACUAAGUGAUUUUGUAUAAAACCUUUGUAUAAAGGUCAAUAAGUGUCGAAUUUGGUAAACAAAUUUGAAUUGAUAAUUUGCUACAUGAGGUUUAUUUGAUCCAAUAUUUGUUUCGUAUUGCUUAGGUUAAGUGUACGGAUAUAAUUAGGAAAAUUUGAGGAAAAAACACUAUCAGAGUUGUCACGAGAUGGCUAUGCAUAUCCAUGAUCUAGUGAACAAGUGAUCAACAACCAAUGGCCGUGACGGAUAGAAGGAGUCACUACAGGUGUGAUCAAGCCUUACGUCAAAGUUGCCUGAAGCUGAUUGGAAAAUGCUAUGACCCGACCAGUUAUUCAGAACAACCUCCUCGGGGACUCAGUCUAAUUUACAUAAGGUUGGUUAACUUACCAGUGUUGACCCUAAACAAACACAUUUACAAACUACUUGUUUAAAGUGUUAUUGCAACCAUGGUGUUAUUUUUUUUUAUUUUUUUUACAGAAGCUCAUAAAUCAAUGAACCUGAUAAUGAUCCACAUCCUAUGGGAAGAAAAGGAAUGUGUGGUGUGCAGCAAAACAGCUAUAUCUUUUUUAAUGGCCCA